rnacentral:lncRNA from 1 species
AUGAAAAUGAGAUAAAUAGUGAACUCUUUGAAGAUGCACUGGCAAGAUUUCCUCGACAAGGCAGAAAUGAGAAACAUGACACAGAAGCCUUUAAGGGUGACCUCAGAGGAAAACAGAAGUUGCUGGAUGAUACAGAAGCAGAAAAGGGAAAACCAGAGCUCCGAGGCACCGCGUGUCAACCACCAGAUGGAUUAGCUCUGCUGAUCAACCGAUCAUGGAGUGUGGAGCCAGAAGCAGAAAGGGAGGAGAAUAGAGAAAUAAAAGGGAGGGGAGAAGACACAAAAGGCUUAGCUGUAGUCAUAGCAGUGUGGGCUCUAGAUUGACAUGGGCAUGGGUUGGAAUCCCAGCUCUUUCUGGAAAAUUGCUGAAACACCCUAAGCCCCAGUUUCCUCAUCUGUAAAUGAAAAGUAUGGUAAUAGCACUAUGAUAUGGUUUGGCUCUGUGUCCCCACCCAAAUCUCAUCUCAAACUGUAAUCCCCACAUGCUGGGGGAGGGGCC